CUCCUUCCUUUUUUCUUUCCUCCCUCCCUCUGGGUCCUCCCUUCAUCUUUCUCUCUCUCUUAAGCUUUUUCCUACUACUUUAGCUAUUAUUCCUACCCUCCCCAGUCCUUCCUUAGAUUAGACCAUGGGAGUUGGGAAGAGUUCUAAGAUCUAAAUCAGUCCCAGUAGCAACAGAGAAGAAAACACUAAGAUCCAGGGAGUGAGUGAAAGCAUCUUGGCCAAGGCUCCGUGAGGCAAAGCUGGAGGAGCCAGGCUCUGGUGUCCACUGCUCACCUCUUGAUGGAUUCACCCAUGCUGGGACCGCAGAUACCUUCCUGCAGGCAGAUGUUCAUGGAGGAGAGCAAUUAGGUCGCAGGUUGCCAGUGAAGGAGAGGAGAGCUAGGGUGAGCCAGGGAUGCUGGAAGCAGCCAUUGCCCAUGAGACGGUGGACAAAAGCAUCACUGAAAUGACAUGAGGCAAAGCAAACCGCCUCCCCUCCUAAGAGAGCCGGCACGUCUCACACUGAAGGGUCUUCAGCUUCA
rnacentral:lncRNA from 1 species